GCAAACGGUUAAGUGUUUGGCUACUAACCAAAAGGCUGGUGGUUCAAAUCCACC
rnacentral:tRNA from 1 species